AGUGUGUCAGAAAGUUAAUUAGUGUUUCGGAAGAAUUAGUUUUUAUAUAUCAAGGGAAAAAUAACCAGAUGACUGUGAAAAUUAUUUAAAGCUAGUAAAAUCUGUAUUAUUGGACACCUUUAAAAAUAAUAUUCAGAAAAAUAACUUAUAUAAGUUAUAUUUAAAUUAGCCUCGUUUUCAACAUUACUUGUAUAGGUAAUUUUAAUUGUUACUUGUUUAAGUAAUGCCCCUG
rnacentral:lncRNA from 1 species